rnacentral:rRNA from 1 species
AGGAUUCCCCUAGUAGCGGCGAGCGAAGCGGGAAAAGCCCAAUAUGAAAAUCCAGUUUACUGGAGUUGUAUCGUCUUCUUUUGGGGUUUCAGUGCGAGGAAGUAGCAUGGAAAUGCUCACCGAGGAGGGUUAGAGUCCCGUCCAGCUCGUUCAGGAAGUUCCGCACAAAAGUUGACAAGUGAGUCGGGUAGCUUGGGACUGCUGCUCUAACUGGUGGUAAAUCUCAUCAAAGGCUAAAUAACGGUGGGAGACCGAUAGUGAACAAGUACCGCGAGGGAAAGAUGACAAGCACUUUGAAAAGAGGGUGAAAAGAGCCUGAAACCGUUACGAGGGAAGCGGAUUGCGUUGGAGUAUGGCUUGCUACAUGUUCAGCCGUUGCGGUGUACUCAUGUGAGCGGGUAUCCGUUGUGGCUUUUCUGCGGCGUUGCUGCGGGAGGGUGAGGGCUCCCCCUGUGUGGGUGAGGACGACGGUGUGACGACGCGAUACGACCCGUCUUGAAACACGGACCAAGGAGUCUAGCACUAUUGCGAGUCGAAGGGUUUAAACCCGUGGGCGCAGUGAAAGCGAACUGUUAAGAAAACGAGCAGUUUGGGGCGGCAUAAAAUCGUUGAUUUUAAGACUGACCUAGAGCAGUUGUGCUGGGACCCGAAAGAUGGUGAACUAUGCCGGAGUAGGGCAAAGCCAGAAGAAAUUCUGGUGGAGGCUCGUAGCGGUGCUGACGUGCAAAUCGCUCGUCGAACUUGGGUAUAGGGGCGAAAGACUCAUCGAACCAUCUAGUAGCUGGUUCCCUCCGAAGUUUCUCUCAGGAUAGCGGGCCGACGGACGUUGUUUUGUGCGGUAAAGCGAAUGAUUAGCGUAUUUGGGGGCAUUUGGUCUUCGGGCGAUUCUCAAACUUUAAAUGCGCAAGGGUGCCGCUGCUUUGGUGAGCGGUACCGAUAAAAACGUCGGCCUCGUGGGCCACUUUUGGUAAGCAGAACUGGCGAUACGGGAUGAACCGUAAGCAUGGUUAAGGCGCCAAAUUGCCCGCUUAUAGAUCCCACAAAAGGUGUUGAUUCAUCGAGACAGCAGGACGGUGGCCAUGGAAGUCGGAAUCCGCCAAGGAGUGUGUAACAACUCACCUGCCGAAUGAAUUAGCCCUGAAAAUGGAUGGCGCUAAAGCGGGCAGCCGACACCAUGCCGUCUGUUUAAGGUAGACAGCAGAUGAGUAGGAGGGCGUGGUGGCCGUAUCGAAGCGUGCGUGCGAACGCGUGUGGAACGGCCACUAGUGCAGAUCUUGGUGGUAGUAGCAAAUAUUCAAGCGAGAACCUUGAAGGGCGAAGCGGGGAAGGGUUCCACGCGAACAUUGAUUGGGCGUGGGUGAGUCGUUCCUAAGCCGGGUGGUCAUUGCUGAGUAACGGCGAAAGGGAAGCGGGUUUAAAUUCCCGCACACGGAUGUGGAGGCGGCGACGCUUUUUGUUGUUGGGGCGAAGACGCUGGCGGUGGCGCUGGGCAGAGAUGUCUUUUCUGUUUAACCGUGGUGAGUGCGGUGUGGAAUCCGCUUGUCGGGAGAAACACGCGCGGGAGGUAAGAGCGCCGGGAGUUUUCCGGCGUCCAGCUCGCCAUCGACGGCCCUUGAAAAUUUGCCUGCUGGAAGGAUCCACGCCGUGGCGUACCGAUAACCGCAUCAGGUCCCCAAGGUGAACAGCCUCUGUCCGGUAUGAGUAAUGCAGGUAAGGGAAGUCGGCAAAUUGGACCCGUAACUUUGGGAAAAGGGUUGGCUCUAGUGCUGCGUGGGAGUGGUUGUCCGUUGUUGGCCGUGGUUGGCUAGCUGGGCGGGCUGCGAGGCGAGUUGUUUUCCUUUGCGUUUGUGAGGGGGGGUAGCGAGUGUUGCGGCUUGGCUGGUGGGCCGGUGCGAUCGCUGCGGACGGCGCCCACGGUGUGCGGCAGACUAGAACUGCAACGGGCAGGGGGAAUCCGACUGUUUAAUUAAAACAAAGCAUUGCGAGGGCCGUGGGUGGUGAUGACGCAAU